UGUUGUCCCCCUUGAGCAGGAGGGGAGACUGCCUUGCACUGGAUUCUUUGUCCUAGGAGACAGGCUGUCAUCUUCUGAGAAGAGGCACGAAGAGCAUGAAAGAAAGAAAACAGCUGCAGAAAGCAACUCUCCUCCGCUUGAAACUGAGGAAACGCAAACGUGAUACGAACCUGUGCGAGACGUGACUGACCAAUAGCCCUGGUACCUGCUGGGGACCGAUGUCGGCCAGGAGACAGCAGCAUUGGCAGUGAACGCAGCUUCCCCAAAUCGCUCUUUCAGCGGUGGGGCUGGUGCAGGGAAGGAAAGUGUGAUUGGUGAGACAGGGUCGUUGCUGCACUUAAAGCCUCCAACUGCAAUCACUGCGAGCAGAUGAGGAAGUGUCACAGCACACCGUGAGUCGAGCCCUGACCAUGCAGCGCACCUGUGGGCUCCUACUGCUCGCCCUGCUUGUCCUCUGCAUGCCCCUUGGCCAGGCGGACAAGGUGGAUGCGGUCACGGCUAUCACCUCCACCGCUCCACGCCCCGCCGCAAGCAACGUGAGCCCCCUCCGCAGCAGCCCACCCCUCCUCUCCCUCACCCUGGCGCUGCUGGCUGUGGCUUUCUUCUUGCGGCUGCGCUGACCCAGAGGGGGGCUACCGUGCACCCCCACCCCAAAGAUGACACCCCCAGGAUGGCAUCCCCUGCACCGGCACCUCCUCGGACCCUCGCAGGACGGAGGAGCGGCCAGCGUGCCGCCAUCGCUUCCUUCCCUGCCUCCCUCUGCUCCGUUCUCCCGUUCCCCUCCGGCCUCUAAAUGAAACCCCAAAGCUUUCCCAGCUCGGAAGCCGGCCUGCUGCGAGGUUCUGAGAAAUAAAAGCGACUGGCGUAGAGGCCUCCGGCUUGUCUCCGCUCUGGGGGCUG
rnacentral:lncRNA from 1 species